rfam:Corynebacterium efficiens YS-314 DNA, complete genome.
GAACCAGGCACGGGGUGCCUGUCCACCGUGGACAGGCUGAGAACACACCCGUUGAACCUGCUCUAGCUCGUACUAGCGAAGGGAUGGCCGUUGCAUGGCUG